GACUGGUGACAGAGUGAGAGAGGGGGUGACUAGUGACAGAGUGAAAGAGGGGGUGACUGUCACUAGUUUCCCCAUCCCUCACUCUGUCACUAGUCACCCCCUCUCUCACUCUGUCACUAGUCAC